CGGUGGGGGCCGCCGGUGCCGGCGCUGCAGCGCCUGAGAGUGCGCCCGUACGCGGACAAGCACCAGGAGGCAACAGCCAUGGAGGACAUCGCGGCCCAUCGUGAAGCUCCUCGUCGCCCCAUACCUCAAGGUCGUUGGCUCCUCGCCAUGAGUUGGCUCAAGCUCCUCGUCCCCCCAUGCCUCGAGGAUUCCACGGUGGCCGAAUCCGACUCCGAUGGCACGGCCUCCGACGCCGACCACACCAUCACCUCCCCUGGUCCCGAGCUGGCCCGCCAUCGCCGCCGUAGCCCACCCGCGCCACCCAAGAAGCGAGCGCCGCCGCCGCCGCCCGAGUCGUCGGGAGAAUCAUGCCCUUCUCAAGAACUUUGUUUAUAUGUUCACAUCAGACCCAUAUCAAUUGUUGUUGUUUCCUGAAUUUAAUUAUUGUAGAGGCUUAACUCUGAUCUUAACACAAGGCGUAUAAGAAAGCAAAUGGUGUGGAGCUCUAGAUAUUAUAGAAUUCGAAGGGAGUGUGUGAAACUGCUUACGAUUCCUAUGGCCGAAGGGAGCGUGUACAAUUUUUUUAUAUACCUUAACAUGAUGGCACUGGUCCUUUUGUACUGCUUCUACCAUUAUCUCUGUGAAUCUAAGUUCCCCAAAUCAGUGGUCAGCUAUGCAAUCUUUGCAAACACUCACUUUAGUAUACAAUAAAAACUGAAUUGCCCUUCCUAACAUCACUUAUCAGUUAUCACCCAAAAGUAGGGGUUUAGUGAUACAAUAUGCAUGGUUUGAAAAUCCCAGGCAAAUCCAGAUUAUGCCUUUUCAUUUCUUCUGCUUGAAAAAUAUUUGGCUUCAUCAUAGGCUUCUUGCUUGGAUUGUUCUUUGUGCCUACAAGGGUUUCCGUUGAUAUGCAGGUCCCAACAAUUUCUAUUUUUCAAGUGAGUAUAAAUGGUUGAAUGAUUGGGUAACACUCACACGUAAGUACAGUUCCUGUGAACUUUAAGGUGCUCUUUUAUAGAAACCUACUCAAGUGGCGAAUUAUGGUUUUGGAGAGAUGUGACAAAUAUGUUGCAUGAUUUUUUUUCUUGUUUCAUUGAGAGUGUAGAUUACUUGAUUUUUAUGUCGGUGCAGUUUUUUUAGGGAAUCACCAUUAACACAGGGAGACUAUCUUAGAAUGUCUACCAUGUCAUCUAGGUCCAUUUUCUUAAGUAUGUAAUCUGAUGCAUGACCGGAGGAGGGGGGCGGGGGGACACAGUUCGGUGUGUCUGAUGAUGGAAUAGGAGGCGAAAUGGAUGUAAUUUCAGUUUGCUUCCUGUUAUUUGUUUUCCAGGUGUUUCUGAAUUGCCCAUCUGAUUUCUAAACCUUGCCGCUAUCCUUCUGUUCAAGGCAGGUUUCGCCGGUGAUGAUGCAUCAAGAGCUGUCUUCCCUUCCCUAGCAUUGUGGGAAGACCACGCCAUAUACUGGUGUCAUGGUAGGCAUGGGCCAAAAGGAUGCUUACGUUGGUGAUGAAGCUGAGGCAAACAUAGGCAUCUUGACACUGAAACGAUUGAACAUGGCAUCAUCAAGAAUUGGAAUGACAUGGAGAAAAUCUGACGUCACACCUACAGCGAACUCCGUGUUACCUGAAGAUCAUCCUGUGUGUCGCUGACAGAGGCCCCUCUCAGUCCCAAGGCCAACAGAGAGAAGAUGACGCAGAUGAUAUAUUUUUCAUAUAGAUCUACCGACAACAUUUCUAUUGAUUUUUUAUAUUGACACACAUCGCUUCUGGAAAUCAUAAAUUAGAAUGAUAAUUAAUAUUCUGUAUCUA